GAAGCCAAAACACGUGAAAUAAAAUCCCUUAUAAUGAAUGAUGAAAAAUGGGAUAGUAUUGAUUAUUUCUUGAAAUUUACGGAACCAAUUGUUGAUAUGCUAAGAAGUGUCGAUAUUGAUGGUCCAAAAUUACAUCUCAUCUAUGAUAUAUGGGACUCAAUGAUUGAGAAGGUCAAGAAAGUCAUCUUUGAGCAUGAGGGAAAGAUCUCAUUUCCGGUCAAUCAAUUUUUUUUGAUACUAUUCAUGAUAUUCUUGUGGCUAGGUGGAACAAAAGUAACACACCUCUACAUUGUAUGGCACAUUCUUUGGUUCCCAAAUAUUAUCAUGAAUCAUGGCUUCAAGGAGAGAAUGGAAUUCGAAAUCUAGCUCCUAAUGAAGAUAGUGAAAUUUCAUUGAAUAGAGUCAAGUGCUUUCAAAGGUACUUUAAAGAUUCUAAUGAAAUGAAACAAGUCUCAUUGGAGUAUGGAUCCUUUUGUAGCGGAAGUGGCUAUUUUAGUGAGCCUCACAUGAUUGAGGCUAUAAUGUAUGAAGAUUCUCUUUCUUGGUGGGCAAAUCAUGGGGUCUCGGCUCCACUUUUGCAACAAUUAGCUUACAAGUUGCUUACUCAAUCGGCUUUUUCCUCUUGUUGUGAAAGAAAUUGAAGUACAUAUUCUUUGAUUCACAAUAUCAAGAGAAAUAAGUUAGCAACUUCAAGAGCCGAAGAUUUAGUGUUUGUACAUUAUAAUCUCCGGUUGUUGUCUCGCAAGAAAGAGAAAUAUAUAAAUGGGCCAAGCAAAUAUUGGGAUGUUGGUGGAGAUCGAUUUGAUAUUGAUGAGACAACUAAUGAUCUAACCGAGCUUUCAAUAGAUGAACCUCAAAUUGAAGGUGUGAUAUUUGAGGAAGAGUUUGAAGAUUUGGAAGAAGUUGAAGAAGAUGUGGAAGAGAUAGCUAACUUAAUUAAAUAACUUGAUAAUUGACAAUAUUUUGUUGUUAUGUUAAUUUUAAGUUAUGGAUUAAGUUGAGACAAUCUCUUGAUUUUUGUUAAAUAGUAUGUUUUACACUUUUACUUGGUGUAUUGAAUAUUGAUUAGUAAUUAUGAAUAUCUAAAUUGUGG